rnacentral:rRNA from 1 species
UACGUAGGGACCAAGCGUUGUUCGGAUUUACUGGGCGUAAAGGGCGCGUAGGCGGCGCGGUAAGUCACUUGUGAAAUCUCUGAGCUUAACUCAGAACGGCCAAGUGAUACUGCAGUGCUAGAGUGUGGAAGGGGCAAUCGGAAUUCUUGGUGUAGCGGUGAAAUGCGUAGAUAUCAAGAGGAACACCUGAGGUGAAGACGGGUUGCUGGGCCAACACUGACGCUGGAGGCGCGAAAGCCAGGGGAGCAAACGGG